UGCGUAGGCGGCGACGUAAGUCAGAAGUGAAAGUUGGCAGCUUAACUGCAAAAUUGCUUUUGAUACUGUGUUGCUUGAAUCACGUUGAGGCUGGCGGAAUGUGGCAUGUAGCGGUGAAAUGCUUAGAUAUGCCAUAGAACACCAAUUGCGAAGGCAGCUGGCUAGACGUGUAUUGACGCUGAGGCACGAAAGCGUGGGGAGCGAACAGGAUUAGAUACCCUGGUAGUCC
rnacentral:rRNA from 1 species